rnacentral:rRNA from 1 species
UACGGAGGGUGCAAGCGUUAAUCGGAAUAAUUGGGCAUAAAGAGUGCGUAGGUGGCUUGCCAAGUGCGUUGUGAAAGACUCGGACUUAACCUGGGGGUGUCAACGCAAACUAGCAAACUAGAGUACAGUAGAGGGUCGUGGAAUUUCCGGUGUAGCGGUGAAAUGCGUAGAGAUCGGAAAGAACACCAGUGGCGAAGGCGACGACCUGGGCUGAAACUGACACUGAGGCACGAAAGCGUGGGGAGCAAACAGG